AUUAUUUGAUUUUGGAUUUCUUGUUACAGUUUUUGAAGGGGCAGCUGGGAGUCAAGUUCAAGCCAUAUUCAAAGUAUCCUCCGUGUUACAAAGAUGUUAGUUUUUGGAUCAGUGAAUCUUUCACCUAAAACAAUUUAUGUGAAGUUGUUAGAGAGGUUGUUGGAGAUCUUGCUGAGGAGGUGCAAUUGAUAGACAAUUUCACAAACAAGAAAGGAAUGACCAGUCACUGUUACAGGAUUGCUUAUAGGUCUAUGGAACGAUCACUUACAGACGAGGAAGUCAAUAAAUUGCAGGGUACUGUUAGAGAGUUGGUUGAGAGCAAGUUGAAGGUUAUCUUGAGAUGAGAGUUCCUAGUGUAGUAGCCUAUUAGCUAAAAAUUAUGUAAAUUCUGAACUUCGUUUAUAGGUGUUGAAUUUUUGCUUAACCAUGUAAAAUCCUGUCUUGUUUCUGACCAACUGUAUUUGAGCCUG